rnacentral:rRNA from 1 species
GAUGAACGCUGGCGGCGUGCCUAAUACAUGCAAGUCGAGCGAACGGACGAGAAGCUUGCUUCUCUGAUGUUAGCGGCGGACGGGUGAGUAACACGUGGAUAACCUACCUAUAAGACUGGGAUAACUUCGGGAAACCGGAGCUAAUACCGGAUGAUAUUUUGAACCGCAUGGUUCAAAAGUGAAAGACGGUCUUGCUGUCACUUAUAGAUGGAUCCGCGCUGCAUUAGCUAGUUGGUAAGGUAACGGCUUACCAAGGCAACGAUGCAUAGCCGACCUGAGAGGGUGAUCGGCCACACUGGAACUGAGACACGGUCCAGACUCCUACGGGAGGCAGCAGUAGGGAAUCUUCCGCAAUGGGCGAAAGCCUGACGGAGCAACGCCGCGUGAGUGAUGAAGGUCUUCGGAUCGUAAAACUCUGUUAUUAGGGAAGAACAUAUGUGUAAGUAACUGUGCACAUCUUGACGGUACCUAAUCAGAAAGCCACGGCUAGCUACGUG